GGACGUGUAGCUCAGUGGUAGAGCGAGGGAUUGCAGAUCCCUAGGUCAGGGUUUCGAUCACCCUCAGGUCCU
rnacentral:tRNA from 3 species